CUAGAUAACUGUUUAAGAUAGAAUGGCAGUAAUGUUCUGAGUCUUGCAGCUUGGAUCACUUUUAUAAAUAAAAUAUUUAUUUUAUAUGGAGCAUUUAUUAAAUACAUAAAAGUAUUAGAAGGAAGAGUAAUCUCUUAUGAGACUGUAUUUUAAAUACCACACUAUUAAUGUAUUUAAUACCCUUUUUGUAAAAUAGAUGCAGCAAUAAAUUGUCUAUAGAAAAAAAUAUUUUAAGUCUACAAAUGUAAUGACUGGCUGAAACACUAUUAAAGCAUCUAUCUGUGGUUGUAUUAUUGCUUAUGCUUCACCAAAAAAGAAAA